rnacentral:rRNA from 1 species
UACGUAGGUGGCGAGCGUUGUCCGGAUUUAUUGGGCGUAAAGCGCGCGCAGGUGGUGCGGUAAGUCUGCCGUGAAAUCUCCCGGCUCAACUGGGAGGGGGCGGUGGAGACUGCCGGACUAGAGGGACUCAGAGGCCGGUGGAAUUCCCGGUGUAGUGGUGAAAUGCGUAGAGAUCGGGAGGAACACCAGUGGCGAAGGCGGCCGGGCUGGGGGGUGCCCUGACGCUGAGGCGCGAAAGCGUGGGGAGCGAACAGG